UACAGAGGGGGCAAGCGUUGUUCGGAAUUACUGGGCGUAAAGGGCGCGUAGGCGGCCUGUUAAGUCGGACGUGAAAUCCCUCGGCUCAACCGGGGAACUGCGUCCGAUACUGGCGGGCUUGAAUUCGGGAGAGGGAUGUGGAAUUCCAGGUGUAGCGGUGAAAUGCGUAGAUAUCUGGAGGAACACCGGUGGCGAAGGCGGCAUCCUGGACCGACAUUGACGCUGAGGCGCGACAGCGUGGGGAGCAAACAGG
rnacentral:rRNA from 1 species